rnacentral:rRNA from 1 species
AUACGUAGAUGGCGAGCGUUAUCCGGAAUGACUGGGCGUAAAGGGUGCGUAGGCGGUUUUAUAAGUCAGAUGUGAAAAUCCCGAGCUUAACUUGGGAACUGCAUUUGAAACUAUAUGACUUGAGUGCAGGAGAGGAAAGCGGAAUUCCUAGUGUAGCGGUGAAAUGCGUAGAUAUUAGGAGGAACACCAGUGGCGAAGGCGGCUUUCUGGACUGUAACUGACGCUGAGGCACGAAAGCAUGGGGAGCGAACAGGAUUAGAUACCCUGGUAGUCCAUGCCGUAAACGAUGAAUGCUAGGUGUAGGGUGUCAAAGCUCUGUGCCGCAGUAAACACAAUAAGCAUUCCGCCUGGGGAGUACGGCCGCAAGGUUGA